rnacentral:rRNA from 1 species
AUGAACUCGUGCUGCACUCUCUCCUGCACCUUCCUGCUGCUCCUCGCCGGCCCUUGCUGCUCCUCGCCGGGCAAGAUCUUACAAGCAGCAGCGGCGGCGCACAAGCAGCGGCUCAAGCAGCCCCCACGGGAGCAGUGCACUCGGCGGCCGGCGGCCAAGCCCGGGCCCGAGUCGCGUAACCCUAGGGGACGGGAGGGAGGGGGCGAGAGAGAGAGGGCAACACCUUCCUGGGCUGGAUCCGGCCACCGGCGUGGAGGACCACCAAGUGCAAGUCGCCGCCGCCGUCGAGAAGCCCGACCGCAACUCGCCGUCGCUGUCGUCUUCGCGAGUUCUUGCGGGCGAGAGGAAGGGGAACGACCAGAGAUCGAGACCUCCCAGUUCGUGGUCAAUCUAGGGAAAGGGGUAUCUUGGACAUUUGUUGCAGGAUCCACCUGA